rfam:Asian citrus Psyllid, Diaphorina citri - Florida Strain, whole genome shotgun sequence.
UACAGUGGAAUAGUGUGUUUCAUGCACCAGUUCCCAAUGGAUCAUUGUAGUUAAACAUUAUUGCAUGUGGUUAGUACCUGGAUGGGUGACCAUUUGGGCAAUCACAUGCUGCUGGUU